ensembl:misc_RNA Metazoa_SRP Metazoan signal recognition particle RNA
GCUGGGGGUGGUGGCUCACACCUGUAAUCCCAGCAUGUUGGGAGGCUGAGGUGGGAUGAUUGCUUGAGCCCAGGAGUUCACAACCAGCCUGGGCAACAUAGCAAGACCCCACCUCAA